UGCAGUCGACGAUGAGACCGUGCUUGCACGGUUGGAUUAGUGGCGAACGGGUGACUAUCACGUGAGUAACCUUCCCUUGACUCUGGGAUAAGCCCGGGAAACUGGGUCUAAUACCGGAUACGACCAGACCUCGCAUGGGGUGCUGGUGGAAAGAUUUAUCGGUCUUGGAUGGACUCGCGGCCUAUCAGCUUGUUGGUGAGGUAAUGGCUCACCAAGGCGAUGACGGGUAGCCGGCCUGACAGGGUGACCGGCCACACUGGGACUGAUACACGGCCCAGACUCCUACGGGAGGCAGCAGUGGGGAAUAUUGCACAAUGGGCGAAAGCCUGAUGCACCGACGCCGCGUGCGGGAUGACGGCCUUCGGGUUGUAAACCGCUUUCAGCAUGGAAGAAGCGAAAGUGACGGUACCUGCAGAAGAAGCGCCGGCUAACUACGUGCCAGCAGCCGCGGUAAUACGUAGGGCGCGAGCGUUAUCCGGAAUUAUUGGGCGUAAAGAGCUCGUAGGCGGUUUGUCACGUCUGCUGUGAAAGACCGGGGCUCAACCCCGGAAGUGCAGUGGGUACGGGCAGACUAGAGUGCAGUAGGGGAGACUGGAAUUCCUGGUGUAGCUGUGAGAUGCGCAGAUAUCACGAAGAACACCGAUGGCGAAGGCAGGUCUCUGGGCUGUUACUGACGCUGACGAGCGAAAGCAUGGGGAGCGAACAUGAUUAGAUACCCUGGUAGUCCAUGCCGUAAACGUUGGGCACUAUGUGUG
rnacentral:rRNA from 1 species